rnacentral:rRNA from 1 species
UGCCAGCCUCCGCUGUACUCCUGAUUGUCCAAUCGUUAUCCGUAUUUGUUGGGUUUAAAGGGUGCGCAGGCGGAACUUUAAGUCAGUGGUGAAAUCUUGCCGCUUAACGGUAAAAUUGCCAUUGAAACUGAAGUUCUUGAAUGUAGUUGAGGUAGGCGGAAUGUGUUGUGUAGCGGUGAAAUGCAUAGAUAUGACACAGAACGCCAAUUGCGAAGGCAGCUUACUAAGCUACGAUUGACGCUGAGGCACGAAAGCGUGGGGAGCAAACAGGAUUAGAUA